rnacentral:rRNA from 2 species
CCUCGAAUCAGGUAGGAAUACCCGCUGAACUUAA